UAUUGGCUAGUUUUGUGUCAACUUGACA
rnacentral:piRNA from 1 species